CCACAAACCUUAGUUUACAUGCAUAAAUAACGAAAGCAUCCCCAGAUCUACCAAAACCAGAUCACCAACAUUCAAACAAUCAUAAAGAUCAGCUAACUGAACCAUAUAAACUAUCUAAGCUAUAUCAACAGGACAGUAAGGGUAGAAACUAAACCGAAUAACCUGAGUCGGAAGCUCUAGCGACCACUACGAACGUGUCUCACGUCUCGUCUCAACUCUCACCGCCGGCGAUACCUGAAAAAUAGUGGGGGAGGUGAGAACAUGUAAACAUGUCUCCCCUCCCAGUGGGUACCGCAAGCCGAUGAAGGCGAGGAGUACUCACCGGAUCAGGAAGAGCUAAACAACAGUACGGGUCAGUAGAAAUACAGUAGCAAUAAUAGUGAAUGAAAGAGACAUAUAUACGAAAGAAGUACAACUACCGCUACUGUAAUGGACAACUGAAUGUAUACAUGUAACAAGACUAUGUAAUGAAAGAACUGAAGGUAUACAAGCAACAACCGCUACUAUAGUUAUAUGCAUCAACCGGACAAGAAGUCCAAAUAUACCCAAUCUAGUACCUGCUAUAUUGGUCCGCAGACCUCAAGCGCUGCCUGUCACUAACCUGCACCGACCUGAUUCACCCGCCCCACAGGACGACCCAUCCGGAUAAGUACACCUCCGAUCGGUGGCCAAACCGAUCCGGUGUCGUGAAUACCCCCAAGUGCUGUGACUAAGUCAUGAUGGUAUGCUCAAUACAAAAACCGGCUGAAACCGGUGCCUAGGCCGAAGCCAGAAACAAGGACGUACAACGCCGAACCUCGAUCAACCAGAUCGAAACACAUGACGAGAGAGUCAAUGUGUUACCUGGACCCAAGGUCCACAGAGUCCAACCGACCAGCAAGGUCACUGAUACGAAGUACGAGAACUGACCAACCAGGUCAACAGAUACGGAAUGCACAACCAACCAACUAGGUCAACAGAUACUGAAUGCAACAACAGACCAACUAGGUCAACAGAUACUGAAUGCAACAACAGACCAACUAGGUCAACAGAUACAGAAUGCAACAACAGACCAACUAGGUCAACAGAUACAGAAUGCAACAACAGACCAACUAGGUCAACAGAUACGCAUGUAGAUAGAACUACUCUACUCCUACUCAGGAUACUAAGCAUGCAAACAACGAGUAGAGUAUAACGAAUAAACAAGGGUGCAAGGCUCAAUAUACUAUGCGAUAGUAACAACAGAAGAGUAAGGGUAAGAAACCAUCACCAAGCGUGCACCACUGUACCGACGUCGGAUCGAAGUACCCACCUGUAAGGAUGUCGCGUCUGUCUCCUGACUGCAAAAGAAUGUCGACAGGACCUAUAGAGGGUCCACCGGGUUAGUAUCUAACCCACAACUAAUAAUCACAGUAUCCACAACCCCACAAACGAUUCCACGAAGAUCGGUUUCCCAAUACCGAUUACCGUAACUCGCCGGAAGUCCCGAAAACCACACCGGGACGCCGUCGGGACCCACUAAGUGUCCCGAAACUCACCGACUCGUGUCACGAGUCACCUGCUGCCCCAAAACACUCCAAUUUGGAUGUUUUGGCAGCAAACACAAGAUAACACCCCUACACAAUUAUCGCCGGAUAAUUGUACGAAUCCGGGUUCCCGAAAGUGUCUAUUUCGACACCGGAACCCACCGUCGCUCACCCAUCAUCACCGAACCCAC
rnacentral:lncRNA from 1 species